rnacentral:piRNA from 1 species
GCCAGUUCAAGCUGAAUUUCAGACCGUGCA